AACGUAGGUUCCGAGCGUUAUCCGGAUUUACUGGGCGUAAAGCGCGUUCAGGCGGUUUGUCAAGUCGGGCAUGAAAUCUCUCGGCUCAACCGGGAGAGGUUGUCCGAUACUUUCAGACUUGAGGGCAGUAGAGGGUGGUGGAAUUCCGGGUGUAGUGGUGAAAUGCGUAGAUAUCCGGAGGAACACCAGUGGCGAAAGCGGCCACCUGGACUGCACCUGACGCUGACACGCGAAAGCUAGGGGAGCGAACGGG
rnacentral:rRNA from 1 species